CCGUUCUUGUGUUAUUUGCUGAAUUUCUAAUCUCAUUCAGUGAUUGUCAAACAGAACGCAUAACAAACUCCAAGCUAGUAUUCCACAUUGUACAGUCUAUCAUAUGACUGAUACAUCACUAACCCGCUAGCUACAGUU
rfam:Drosophila busckii chromosome 3R sequence.